UACAGAGGGGGCAAGCGUUAUUCGGAAUUAUUGGGCGUAAAGGGCGCGUAGGCGGCUUGACAAGUGGAAGGUGAAAUCCCUCGGCUUAACCGAGGAACUGCCUUCCAGACUGUCUGGCUUGAGACCGGGAGAGGUGAGUGGAAUUCCCAGUGUAGCGGUGAAAUGCGUAGAUAUUGGGAGGAACACCAGUGGCGAAGGCGGCUCACUGGACCGGUACUGGCGCUGAGGCGCGAAAGCGUGGGGAGCAAACGGG
rnacentral:rRNA from 1 species